rnacentral:rRNA from 1 species
UACGGAGGGUGCAAACGUUGCUCGGAAUCAUUGGGCGUAAAGCGCACGUAGGCGGCCUGAUAAGUCGGGUGUGAAAGCCCUGGGCUCAACCCAGGAAGUGCACUCGAAACUGUCAGGCUUGAAUAUGGAAGAGGGUCGCGGAAUUCCCGGUGUAGAGGUGAAAUUCGUAGAUAUCGGGGAGGAACACCAGUGGCGAAGGCGG